rnacentral:rRNA from 1 species
AGAGUUUGAUCAUGGCUCAGAGCGAACGCUGGCGGCAGGCUUAACACAUGCAAGUCGAACGGGCGUAGCAAUACGUCAGUGGCAGACGGGUGAGUAACACGUGGGAACGUACCCUUUGGUUCGGAACAACACAGGGAAACUUGUACUAAUACCGGAUAAGCCCUUACGGGGAAAGAUUUAUCGCCGAAGGAUCGGCCCGCGUCUGAUUAGCUUGUUGGUGAGGUAAUGGCUCACCAAGGCGACGAUCAGUAGCUGGUCUGAGAGGAUGAUCAGCCACACUGGGACUGAGACACGGCCCAGACUCCUACGGGAGGCAGCAGUGGGAAUAUUGGACAAUGGGCGCAAGCCUGAUCCAGCCAUGCCGCGUGAGUGAUGAAGGCCCUAGGGUUGUAAAGCUCUUUUGGCGGGGAAGAUAAUGACGGUACCCGCAGAAUAAGCCCCGGCUAACUUCGUG